AGCGAACGCUGGCGGCAGGCUUAACACAUGCAAGUCGAGCGGGCAUCCAGGUGGUGUCAGCGGCAGACGGGGGAGUAACGCGUGGGAACGUGGCCUUCGGUUCGGACUAACUCAUGGAAACGUGUGCUAAUAGCGGAUACGUGCGAGAGCAGAAAGGUUUAUCUGACGUAGGAUCGGCCCGCUUCGGAUUAUCUAGGUGUGGAGGUUAUGGGUCACCAAGGCGACGAUCAGUAGAUGGUCUGAGAGGAUGAUCAGCAACUCUGGGACGAGGACACGGCCGAGAAUCUUACAGGAGGCAGCAGUGCCGAAUCUUGCAAUAUGGCGGCAGCCAUGAUCCCGCCCUGGCGCGUGAGCGCUUUCGUCCUGAGGGUUGUACAGCUCUUUUCUACGCGACGAUACUGACGGUACCGGAGGAAUAAGCCCCGGCUAACUUCGUG
rnacentral:rRNA from 1 species